rnacentral:rRNA from 1 species
ACGGGGGGACGGGGUGCAGCAGGCGCGAAACCUCCGCAAUGUGAGAAAUCGCGACGGGGGGAUCCCAAGUGCCAUUCUUAACGGGAUGGCUUUUCAUUAGUGUAAAAGAGCUUUUGGAAUAAGGGCUGGGCAAGACCGGUGCCAGCCGCCCGCGGUAAU